AAGCAGGGAGGAGGACCGACGGAUGACCUGCUUGCUGGGCUUCCCAUUACUAAUUCUUGAGACAUGAGGACCACUGACUGGUGAGGGAAUUGCCCUAUGAUGGAUGGGCCUGCCUCAAGCUGCCAUAAGCUGGGAGGACCGACGGUUGACUGACACUGCCUGCUUGGUUGGCCAUUACCGAUUCUUGAGAAGAGGAGGACCGCCAAGCUUGGAUGAGACUGGAAAAUUACGAAGCUGCUCUAUCUGGACAAGGAUGCCCUCAUCUAGACACUUUCCAAUUUGCGGAAUAUUUGAUCAAAAAUCAGACUGCAUAUUAUUUUGCAAUAUUAUAAAACAUAAAAACGACGAAAAUACGAAUUCUUACGCCAAAGUUACCGUUAUAAUUGGAAGAAAUAAAAGCUUAAAUCACUGUUACUUGUUAACUUUA